GUUUCGGUGGCAUAAUGGUUAGCACACCUGCACACAAGCAUGAGGUCCACGUUCGAAUUCCGGCGGAGACA